rnacentral:rRNA from 1 species
UACGUAGGGGGCAAGCGUUGUCCGGAUUUAUUGGGCGUAAAGAGCGUGUAGGCGGCUAGGUAGGUCCGUUGUGAAAACUCGAGGCUCAACCUCGAGACGCCGGUGGAAACCAUCUAGCUAGAGUCCGGAAGAGGAGAGUGGAAUUCCUGGUGUAGCGGUGAAAUGCGCAGAUAUCAGGAAGAACACCCGUGGCGAAGGCGGCUCUCUGGGACGUGACUGACGCUGAGACGCGAAAGCGUGGGGAGCGAACAGG